GUGAGGGAACUAACUAACUGUCUGUGUGCACGGUGAGGGAACUAACUAACUGUCUGUGUGCACGGGUGAGGGAACUAACUAACUGUCUGUGUCCAGAGGUGAGAGAACUAACUAACUGUCUGUGUGCACGGUGAGAGAACUAACUAACUGUCUGUGUGCCUGGUGAGAGAACUAACUAACUGUCUGUGUGCCUGGUGUCCAGAGGUGAGAGAACUAACUAACUGUCUGUGUGCACGGUGAGAGACUAACUAACUGUCUGUGUGCAGAGGUGAGGGAACUAACUAACUGUCUGUGUGCACGGUGAGGGAACUAACUAACUGUCUGUGUGCCUGGUGUACAGAGGUGAGAGAACUAACUAACUGUCUGUGUGCCUGGUGUACAGAGGUGAGAGAACUAACUAACUGUCUGUGUACAGAGGUGAGAGAACUAACUAACUGUCUGUGUACAGAGGUGAGAGAACUAACUAACUGUCUGUGUGCCUGGUGUACAGAGGUGAGAGAACUAACUAACUGUCUGUGUGCCUGGUGUACAGAGGUGAGGGAACUAACUAACUGUCUGUGUGCACGGGUGAGGAAAUAACUAACUGUCUGUGUGCACGGUGAGGGAACUAACUAACUGUCUGUGUGCACGGUGAGGGAACUAACUAACUGUCUGUGUGCACGGUGAGGAACUAACUAACUGUCUGUGUGCACGGUGAGGGAACUAACUAACUGUCUGUGUGCACGGUGAGAGAACUAACUAACUGUCUGUGUCCAGAGGUGAGACAACUAACUAACUGUCUGUGUACAGAGGUGAGAGAACUAACUAACUGUCUGUGUACAGAGGUGAGAGAACUAACUAACUUUCUGUGUACAGAGGUGAGAGAAACUAACUAACUGUCUGUGUGCACGGUGAGAGAACUAACUAACUGUCUGUGUGCACGGUGAGGGAACUAACUAACUGUCUGUGUCCAGAGGUGAGAGAACUAACUAACUGUCUGUGUGCACGGUGAGAGAACUAACUAACUGUCUGUGUGCCUGGUGAGAGAACUAACUAACUGUCUGUGUGCCUGUGUCAGAGGUGAGAGAAUAACUAACUGUCUGUGUGCACGGUGAGAGAACUAACUAACUGUCUGUGUGCAGAGGUGAGGGAACUAACUAACUGUCUGUGUGCACGGUGAGAGAACUAACUAACUGUCUGUGUGCCUGGUGAGAGAACUAACUAACUGUCUGUGUGCACGGUGAGAGAACUAACUAACUGUCUGUGUGCAGAGGUGAGGGAACUAACUAACUGUCUGUGUGCCUGGUGAGAGAACUAACUAACUGUCUGUGUGCCUGGUGAGAGAACUAACUAACUGUCUGUGUGCACGGUGAGAGAACUAACUAACUGUCUGUGUGCACGGUGAGGGAACUAACUAACUGUCUGUGUGCACGGUGAGGGAACUAACUAACUGUCUGUGUGCACGGUGAGAGAACUAACUAACUGUCUGUGUCCAGAGGGUGAGAGAACUAACUAACUUUCUGUGUACAGAGGUGAGAGAACUAACUAACUGUCUGUGUGCACGGUGAGAGAACUAACUAACUGUCUGUGUGCACGGUGAGGGAAAUAACUAACUGUCUGUGUGCACGGUGAGGGAACUAACUAACUGUCUGUGUGC
ensembl:lncRNA